UUGAUAAAUGCAAUUAUUAUUUCUCAAUUAUUAUUUCUCAGUAGGAGAAAUAAAAAUUAAUUUUAUAUAAACUUAUAUACAUUGAAAUAUAUACCAUUAUACUAUAUGUAUUCUAAAUGGUCUAUGAGAAGGUUAAAAGAAAGUGAAAUUAAACGUAUUUAUGCAAAGAAAACAAAGUUAUUUGCGCAGCUCAAACAUUCACUGAAGGUGCUCAAAUACAGCAGGUGACUUUGGUUAUGUUCUUAAAUUCAACUAAUGGCUUGAACGCAGCAUGAGGGGGAGGGGGUAAUGAAAGUUCAACAUUUAUUAAGUUUUAACACUGGGAUAAUGUUUCUUUUUUUGGUUCUCAAAUUACAUUAUAUUUGCUCACUAAUCGAUUUUAUGUUAUUGUUUGUUUUAUAUAUAUUAAUAUAUUUAAUUCAGACUAAUACCGAUUUUCUUUUUCUUUUUUGAUUGGAACAAGUGUCUUAUGCGAUUAUUUGCUUCGUCAAUUACGACUAGUACUGCGGUCGAUGAGUUUGUAAUUGAGUUUAAGCUACAAAAUUAUGUAAGUUAUUGGAGGAAAUAGAAUUAAACGAAGUUCUUGUAAAAAAUCUCUUUUUAUAAAAAGUGUUUUUGUACUAUUAAGUUACAGUUCUAACAAACUUGAUCGCACGUUCGUUUUGCGUUACAUUUAUUUAUUUAACUUUGAUUUAGGACCAAAUAAAAGUUCAACGAAGCUUUAUUUAUUAUUAUAUCAGAAUUUUUUUUAAUUAUUGAAAUGUAUAUUGGUGACAUCCAGCUGAGCUAUUUUGAUAUAUUACAACUGACAUAUUACGGUCUAAUUUUAUUUGAAUUAAAAUUGAGACUGA